UACGGAGGGUGCAAGCGUUAAUCGGAAUUACUGGGCGUAAAGGGCGCGUAGGCGGAUUGUUAAGUCAGAUGUGAAAGCCCCGGGCUUAACCUGGGAACUGCAUCUGAUACUGACAGUCUAGAGUAUGGUAGAGGGUAGUGGAAUUUCCGGUGUAGCGGUGAAAUGCAUAGAUAUCGGAAAGAACACCAGUGGCGAAGGCGACUUCCUGGACCAAUACUGACGCUUAGGCGCGAAAGCGUGGGGAGCAAACAGG
rnacentral:misc_RNA from 1 species